AAAUAAUAGAGGAAAGAUUACAGAGAGAGUUUAGAGUUACGGAGAGAGCCAAGAGUCUACACAGAGCGCCGGACUUGUGGCUUUGAUAUUCUAGUGUUAAUUUAUUCUUUCACAGGUUUUAGGUACCGAGGAUAAGCUUGGAUUGCUAGUUGCGGGAUUAGGUGGAACAGUAGGAGUUGAGGAAUUAAAUUAUUUUAUUUAGAGAUUUUUAUGUAUUUAUUUGAGAAAAUUGAUUUAGUAUCAAUUUAAUUAAUUUGAGAUAUUGUCUUAUUUAUUUGAGGAAAUUUGAUUGAUUUUGUAUCAAUAAAGGGUAUUUUAUUUCUUUUGA